AUUGAACGCUGGCGGCAUGCCUUACGCAUGCAAGUCGAACGGUAACAGGUCUUCGGGUGCUGACGAGUGGCGAACGGGUGAGUAAAGCAUCGGAACGUGCCCAGUCGUGGGGGAUAACUGCUCGAAAGAGCAGCUAAUACCGCAUACGACCCAAGGGUGAAAGCGGGGGACCUUCGGGCCUCGCGCGAUUGGAGCGGCCGAUGUCAGAUUAGAUAGUUGGUGGGGUAAAGGCUUACCAAGUCGACGAUCUGUAGCUGGUCUGAGAGGACGACCAGCCACACUGGGACUGAGACACGGCCCAGACUCCUACGGGAGGCAGCAGUGGGGAAUUUUGGACAAUGGGCGAAAGCCUGAUCCAGCAAUGCCGCGUGCAGGAAGAAGGCCUUCGGGUUGUAAACUGCUUUUGUACGGAACGAAAAGGUUCUUUUUAAUAAAGAGGACUGAUGACGGUACCGUAAGAAUAAGCACCGGCUAACUACGUGCCAGCAGCCGCCGUAACAC
rnacentral:rRNA from 1 species